rnacentral:rRNA from 1 species
GACGUAGGGAGCGAGCGUUGUCCGGAUUCAUUGGGCGUAAAGAGCGCGUAGGCGGUUUGGUAAGUCGGAUGUGAAAACACGAGGCUCAACCUCGUGCGUGCAUCCGAAACUGCCCGACUAGAGGUAGGUAGGGGAGAUCGGAAUUCCUGGUGUAGCGGUGGAAUGCGCAGAUAUCAGGAGGAACACCGGUGGCGAAGGCGGAUCUCUGGGCCUUACCUGACGCUGAGGCGCGAAAGCUAGGGGAGCGAACAGG